AAUGAACGCUGGCGGCAUGCCUAACACAUGCAAGUCGAACGAGUGGCGGACGGGUGAGUAAUGUCUGGGAACCUGCCCGAUGGAGGGGGAUAACUACUGGAAACGGUAGCUAAUACCGCAUACCCUCGGAUGAUCCCAGGUGGGAUUAGCUAGUGGGUGGGGUAAUGGCUCACCUAGGCGACGAUCCCUAGCUGGUCUGAGAGGAUGACCGUCCACACUGGAACUGAGACACGGUCCAGACUCCUACGGGAGGCAGCAGUGGGGAAUAUUGCACAAUGGGCGAAAGCCUGAUGCAGCCAUGCCGCGUGUGUGAAGAAGGCCUUCGGAUUGUAAAGUACUUUCAGCGGGGAGGCGUUACCCGCAGAGGAAGCACCGGCUAACUCCGUGCCAGCAGCCGCGGUAAUAC
rnacentral:rRNA from 1 species